rnacentral:lncRNA from 10 species
AAUAAACACCACUAGAAGAAACACCUAAUGGCCUCCUUGCAGACCAGCAGCGUGAUGCAAAGCUAACCCGGCGAACCUGCACAUGAAUGGGAUCCAGGACUCUGAGGCCCUAAGGAAUGGCAGUGAUGAGGUAGGAGUCUUGGUCCUGAAUGAUUUCAUGAAGCAAUCUCCUUUUAUGUCUCUCAUAAAUUGUAUUGGAGUGUGACAUGAGCAAAAACAUAAACUUUCAUUAAG